CAUAUUUGGGAGAAAGACUGUGGACUCACAUCAAUCACCAAUCCAGGUUGAUUCAGAAGAUUCAGAAAUAUUAAUAAACCAUCAAAUGGUUCAUAUGGUUUUGCACAGCUUUUCUACAGAAGUUUGUAUUCAAAAUAUUUUAAGUCUGUUCAAUUCACUUACAACAAGUGCAGCAGAAUUAGUUCACUAUAUUAAAUAAACAAGUUCCCUAAUUUUUCU
rnacentral:lncRNA from 1 species